UACGUAGGGUGCAAGCGUUGUCCGGAAUUAUUGGGCGUAAAGAGCUCGUAGGCGGUUUGUCGCGUCGGCUGUGAAAACCCGAGGCUCAACCUCGGGCCUGCAGUCGAUACGGGCAAACUAGAGUGUGGUAGGGGAGACUGGAAUUCCUGGUGUAGCGGUGAAAUGCGCAGAUAUCAGGAGGAACACCGGCGGCGAAGGCGGGUCUCUGGGCCAUAACUGACGCUGAGGAGCGAAAGCGUGGGGAGCGAACAGG
rnacentral:rRNA from 1 species